rnacentral:tRNA from 1 species
GGCCCCAUCGUCUAGAGGUCGAGGACACCACCCUCUCAAGGUGGAGACACGGGUUCGAUUCCCGUUGGGGCUACCA